GGUUAAGCGACUAAGCGUACACGGUGGAUGCCCUGGCAGUCAGAGGCGAUGAAGGACGUGCUAAUCUGCGAUAAGCGUCGGUGAGGUGAUAUGAACCGUUAUAACCGGCGAUUUCCGAAUGGGGAAACCCAGUGUGUUUCGACACACUAUCAUUAACUGAAUCCAUAGGUUAAUGAGGCGAACCGGGGGAACUGAAACAUCUAAGUACCCCGAGGAAAAGAAAUCAACCGAGAUUCCCCCAGUAGCGGCGAGCGAACGGGGAGGAGCCCAGAGCCUGAAUCAGUGUGUGUGUUAGUGGAAGCGUCUGGAAAGGCGCGCGAUACAGGGUGACAGCCCCGUACACAAAAAUGCACAUAUUGUGAGCUCGAUGAGUAGGGCGGGACACGUGGUAUCCUGUCUGAAUAUGGGGGGACCAUCCUCCAAGGCUAAAUACUCCUGACUGACCGAUAGUGAACCAGUACCGUGAGGGAAAGGCGAAAAGAACCCCGGCGAGGGGAGUGAAAAAGAACCUGAAACCGUGUACGUACAAGCAGUGGGAGCCUCUUAAUGGGGUGACUGCGUACCUUUUGUAUAAUGGGUCAGCGACUUAUAUUCUGUAGCAAGGUUAACCGAAUAGGGGAGCCGAAGGGAAACCGAGUCUUAACUGGGCGUUAAGUUGCAGGGUAUAGACCCGAAACCCGGUGAUCUAGCCAUGGGCAGGUUGAAGGUUGGGUAACACUAACUGGAGGACCGAACCGACUAAUGUUGAAAAAUUAGCGGAUGACUUGUGGCUGGGGGUGAAAGGCCAAUCAAACCGGGAGAUAGCUGGUUCUCCCCGAAAGCUAUUUAGGUAGCGCCUCGUGAAUUCAUCUCCGGGGGUAGAGCACUGUUUCGGCAAGGGGGUCAUCCCGACUUACCAACCCGAUGCAAACUGCGAAUACCGGAGAAUGUUAUCACGGGAGACACACGGCGGGUGCUAACGUCCGUCGUGAAGAGGGAAACAACCCAGACCGCCAGCUAAGGUCCCAAAGUCAUGGUUAAGUGGGAAACGAUGUGGGAAGGCCCAGACAGCCAGGAUGUUGGCUUAGAAGCAGCCAUCAUUUAAAGAAAGCGUAAUAGCUCACUGGUCGAGUCGGCCUGCGCGGAAGAUGUAACGGGGCUAAACCAUGCACCGAAGCUGCGGCAGCGACACUAUGUGUUGUUGGGUAGGGGAGCGUUCUGUAAGCCUGUGAAGGUGGCCUGUGAGGGUUGCUGGAGGUAUCAGAAGUGCGAAUGCUGACAUAAGUAACGAUAAAGCGGGUGAAAAGCCCGCUCGCCGGAAGACCAAGGGUUCCUGUCCAACGUUAAUCGGGGCAGGGUGAGUCGACCCCUAAGGCGAGGCCGAAAGGCGUAGUCGAUGGGAAACAGGUUAAUAUUCCUGUACUUGGUGUUACUGCGAAGGGGGGACGGAGAAGGCUAUGUUGGCCGGGCGACGGUUGUCCCGGUUUAAGCGUGUAGGCUGGUUUUCCAGGCAAAUCCGGAAAAUCAAGGCUGAGGCGUGAUGACGAGGCACUACGGUGCUGAAGCGACAAAUGCCCUGCUUCCAGGAAAAGCCUCUAAGCAUCAGGUAACAUCAAAUCGUACCCCAAACCGACACAGGUGGUCAGGUAGAGAAUACCAAGGCGCUUGAGAGAACUCGGGUGAAGGAACUAGGCAAAAUGGUGCCGUAACUUCGGGAGAAGGCACGCUGAUAUGUAGGUGAAGCGACUUGCUCGUGGAGCUGAAAUCAGUCGAAGAUACCAGCUGGCUGCAACUGUUUAUUAAAAACACAGCACUGUGCAAACACGAAAGUGGACGUAUACGGUGUGACGCCUGCCCGGUGCCGGAAGGUUAAUUGAUGGGGUUAGCGGUAACGCGAAGCUCUUGAUCGAAGCCCCGGUAAACGGCGGCCGUAACUAUAACGGUCCUAAGGUAGCGAAAUUCCUUGUCGGGUAAGUUCCGACCUGCACGAAUGGCGUAAUGAUGGCCAGGCUGUCUCCACCCGAGACUCAGUGAAAUUGAACUCGCUGUGAAGAUGCAGUGUACCCGCGGCAAGACGGAAAGACCCCGUGAACCUUUACUAUAGCUUGACACUGAACAUUGAGCCUUGAUGUGUAGGAUAGGUGGGAGGCUUUGAAGUGUGGACGCCAGUCUGCAUGGAGCCGACCUUGAAAUACCACCCUUUAAUGUUUGAUGUUCUAACGUGGGCCCCUUACCGGGGUUGCGGACAGUGUCUGGUGGGUAGUUUGACUGGGGCGGUCUCCUCCUAAAGAGUAACGGAGGAGCACGAAGGUUGGCUAAUCCUGGUCGGACAUCAGGAGGUUAGUGCAAUGGCAUAAGCCAGCUUGACUGCGAGCGUGACGGCGCGAGCAGGUGCGAAAGCAGGUCAUAGUGAUCCGGUGGUUCUGAAUGGAAGGGCCAUCGCUCAACGGAUAAAAGGUACUCCGGGGAUAACAGGCUGAUACCGCCCAAGAGUUCAUAUCGACGGCGGUGUUUGGCACCUCGAUGUCGGCUCAUCACAUCCUGGGGCUGAAGUAGGUCCCAAGGGUAUGGCUGUUCGCCAUUUAAAGUGGUACGCGAGCUGGGUUUAGAACGUCGUGAGACAGUUCGGUCCCUAUCUGCCGUGGGCGCUGGAGAACUGAGGGGGGCUGCUCCUAGUACGAGAGGACCGGAGUGGACGCAUCACUGGUGUUCGGGUUGUCAUGCCAAUGGCACUGCCCGGUAGCUAAAUGCGGAAGAGAUAAGUGCUGAAAGCAUCUAAGCACGAAACUUGCCCCGAGAUGAGUUCUCCCUGACUCCUUGAGAGUCCUGAAGGAACGUUGAAGACGACGACGUUGAUAGGCCGGGUGUGUAAGCGCAGCGAUGCGUUGAGCUAACCGGUACUAAUGAACCGUGAGGCUUAACCUUACAACGCCGAAGAUGUUUUG
rnacentral:rRNA from 4 species